UCCCGCAUGUCGGCUUAUCCUCGAAGAGAGGGGUCACAUCUGUAGGGGAAGAGGGGUGGGGCAGCAAAGUUGAGGAGUAGCGUCACAGCUGGGUCUUCAUAGUUUGGGUGGAGGAGCAGGGGAGGCGGGUGAUGGGGGGAAGGAGCAGCGUGGCCGGCGACCAGAGCAAGAAGCGGCAGGGGCGACGCUCCCAUCGCACUGGGGUGGAGCUGCACGGGAGAUGGGGUGGUUAGCCCUUGUUUGUCAUGGCCCUCCAGGGCAUGCGACGCAGUGCACCAAGCACUGCAAACCUAAUUUUCCUCAUUGGCUUGCAGCCUGCAGGUCUGAGCUGAAUGAAAGCAUGGACUUCAACAUUUAAGUGAUGAGGCAGCUAAAUGUACGUAAGUCAAAUUCAGCACAUAAAGUCGGAGUAGGUAUUUUCGGCCUUUCUUAAUGUAAAGAUGGUGAGUUGCAACUGCAAGAAGGUAUUUUUUUGCCUUUUCACAUGUUCAAGCAUAUGUUUGUAGAUUAAAAGUUGUGUUCUUUAGAAGUGCCUUUUGAGAUACAAGGCAUGGUUGUAUGUAAAUUUUAGUUUCCUUCAGUGACAUAUUAAUAGAUAUACAUGGUUGUUACCCUACUUUUGAAAUCAGUUUGUGUAUUUGAGAUGGCAGAUCUUGGAUUAGUACUUCUUCAGAGCACUAGAUGUUUGCCCAAGAUAAUAUUUGUUAUUGUUUAAUAUUUUUGAAUCUCUGCUGGAAUUAUAACCCUGCAUUAAUAGCAGGGUGUGCCGAUUGAUAAAUAGUGUUGUGUUUGGUCCAUGUCUAGCAGUUGGCAUAUUGACCUAUAUUUUUCCUAUAAUAGUGUCCCUAAUUUGCAUUCAGCUGAUAUUACAUUUGGCUAAAAGAUAAAAAGACCUAUAUAGGAAUGUUGGUUGCAAACUUACCUCUUUCUAUUGUGUUGUUGACUUUUAGGACAUGUUGAGCAGAGUUGCCACCGCAAGAAGGUAAUUUUUCCCUCUUAGGAGGCAAACAAUGCAUGUCUUAAUUUAAGAAUAUAUAGGUGUUCGUGCUCAUAGUUGCACUGCCUGUUGGCACUAAAAUGUCUAGAACAUCGCCUGUGAUGCAUCAGUCGAUGGUCAAUGCUCCGUUGGUUUGCGGCCAUCCAUCCACCCCCUUCUGAAAUCUGAAUUUCAGAAUGAUGGAUAGAUUCUGAAAUCUGAAUUUCAAAUGAUGGAUAGAUUCUGAAUUUGUCAUGGUGCACAUAUUGGCCUACGUUUCUUCUUUUCUCUUUUCAGAGAAGCAAUUCAUUUUGCUGUAUCCAAGAGGCGUGCACGACGCUCUUUAUAUUAAGAUGGCAUCAUGGUUUGGAGCAACAAUAAUACCAUUUGGAUUGGUUGGAGAAGACGAUAUAUGUGAUGCAAGUGCAACCUCAAAAGAUAUGUUAUCUUACUAUGUUAUCCCCUUGAUAAUCUGAUGUCUAGAAACAAUGUUUUUCACCUCAAAUGUUGUUAGACUACAAUGAUCUUAUGGUGCUCCAAUUUUAGAGUAAAGAUAUGCAUCAUGUAGUGCUUACGCCAAAAAUGUCAGGAAGAUUUUACUUCAUCUUUGGGGAGCCUAUUGAAACAAAACGUAACCAGCUGCACUAGCAAAUAGUAAUCUGAAAAGAUAUCUACAUGUUCUCGUGGCAAGUC